UACAGAGGUCCCAAGCGUUGUUCGGAUUCACUGGGCGUAAAGGGUGCGUAGGCGGUCGGGUAAGUCUGACGUGAAAUCUUCAAGCUCAACUUGGAAACUGCGUCGGAUACUAUUCGGCUCGAGGAAUGGAGGGGAGACUGGAAUUCCCGGUGUAGCAGUGAAAUGCGUAGAUAUCGAGAGGAACACCAGUGGCGAAGGCGAGUCUCUGGACAUUUCCUGACGCUGAGGCACGAAAGCCAGGGGAGCAAACGGG
rnacentral:rRNA from 1 species